ACGGGUUUUCGCGUUUGCUGCCAGCAUGUGGCAUACAGUCGGUCGCAAACGCCGCGAUGUCCGGCCGCCUGCAUCGCCGGCUGCGCUGUUGCCUGCUCGGCGUCUUGACUGUAUUGGCCAUGCAAUUGCUGAUUGUCGUUUUGGUAGUGCGCUUUGGCCUAAUCGAUGAAUUAAUCAGCCAUCGAUUGCUGUUGCAGCAGCAACAACUGAGCCUACACCAACUCGAAUGGCGCGAGUUUAUUACGCAUACGCCCGAUCAGCCGCACGCACUCUAUCAAUACAAUCGCCAGCUGAGCGACAAUCUGGCUGCCGUGCGUCUCCUGCCAACGACACGACAUCACAGCUGCAACAGGCGCCGCUAUAGGCUGCCUCAAGCCAGCCGGGCCAAGCUCAGCGUUGUGAUUUGCUUUCAUAAUGAGGCGCGCUCGAUGCUGCUGCGCACGAUCUUAACGCUGAUCAGUCGAACGCCCGAGGAGUAUCUGCACGAGCUCAUUGUCAUAGACGACGGCAGUGAGGAUGCCGGCCUGCUGGCGAGUCUCGAACGGCACAUGACCGCAGCAAAUGUGCAGCGGGGGCGGCCCACACUCAUCUUCAGACGCAAUCUGAGCCGCAAGGGCCUGAUUUGGUCACGCAACGAGGGCGCUCGGCUGGCCAGCGGCCAUUAUUUGCUGUUUCUGGACAGUCACUGCGAGGUCAAUGAUGGCUGGCUGGAGCCCCUGCUGGAGAGGCUGGCGCUGAACUCUAGGCUUGCGGUCAGCCCGGUGCUGGAUCCCAUUGAACCCGAGACCUUGAGCUACAUGGCCGGGAAUGAGUUGCUGAAAGGCGGCUUCGAUUGGAGCCUGCACUUCCAUUGGCUGCCCCGGGUGCUGGCCGAGAAGGAGGCGCUGGCGCAGCCAUAUGCCAGUCCAGCCUUCGCGGGUGGCAUCUUGGUGAUCUCGCGCGAGUCGUUCCACAAGCUGCAUGGCUUCAAUCCGCAUCUGGAGCAAUUCAAAAAUCAUAGCCGAGUCCUGGCUGGACGAGUACAAAUAUUUGUUCUACGCCCUCAAACCGUCGGCCAGGCAAAUUCCAUUGAAUCUCCGCACAGUCAGCCAGCCCAGCUACGAUCCGGCACAGAUAAAAGCUGAACUGAACUGCCGGCCCUUCGACUGGCUCAUGCGACAUGUGAGCCCAGAGCUGAGGCUGCAGCACGCGAACCUCAGCGCCCUCGGCACCCUGCGCAACGCCGACCGCUGUCUGCAUGUGGCUGGCACGGAGC
rnacentral:misc_RNA from 1 species